rnacentral:snoRNA from 1 species
UGCGAUUUUACUUCAGAGAAUCUUUUCUUUAGGAGAAAAUCCCGCUCUAAAUUUUCCAAUUUAGCUGCAGAACCUACCCUGGUUGAUGAAUGAAAAUCCCCGCCGUCCUAGAGUGAAGAUAUUAAUGGCUUCCUUCCUUUAUUAAGGAGGGAGUUACUCUCGUCCUGCGCGAAAGCGUAGCGGUCGACGCUUUAUGCAUUGGCUGUAUAGAGGGUGUUGUUGAUCUCAACCCCGAUUCGCUUAGCUUACCUUUGUGGUACUUUGCCGGGGUGGGUGGUGGUGGACGUCUGACAGGC